GUGGCAAGCGUUAUCCGGAUUUAUUGGGCGUAAAGCGAGCGCAGGCGGUAUAUUAAGUCUGAUGUGAAAGCCUUCGGCUCAACCAGUAGUGGCUUUGGAAACUGUUGAGCUUGAGUGCAGAAGAGGAGAGUGGAACUCCAUGUGUAGCGGUGAAAUGCGUAGAUAUAUGGAAGAACACCAGUGGCGAAGGCGGCUCUCUGGUCUGUAACUGACGCUGAGG
rnacentral:rRNA from 1 species